rnacentral:rRNA from 1 species
UACGUAGGUGGCGAGCGUUGUCCGGAUUUACUGGGCGUAAAGGGAGCGUAGGCGGACUUUUAAGUGAGAUGUGAAAUACUCGAGCUCAACUUGAGUGCUGCAUUUCAAACUGGAAGUCUAGAGUGCAGGAGAGGAGAAUGGAAUUCCUAGUGUAGCGGUGAAAUGCGUAGAGAUUAGGAAGAACACCAGUGGCGAAGGCGAUUCUCUGGACUGUAACUGACGCUGAGGCUCGAAAGCGUGGGGAGCAAACAGG